rnacentral:tRNA from 1 species
GCGAGACUGUGCUGGCAGCUGUGUGGUGCUCAUACCACCAUUGACGUUUGUUUGAUGAAAACGUUUUGCC